UGUAAAUAUCUGACAAGUGAACAUGUCACCUCAGCUUUUUACUGUGCCAAAGUGUUGGCAAGAGCUCUUAAUGGCCAUUGUUCCAGGAGAGGAAAUUAAAAAAUAAAUCCCUUUUUGCAAAGAAAUGUUAAGAGGACGCAGAGGGACUGCCCCAAAUACACACACCCCUGUUGUUCCAAGAGUGGCAAAUGUAAAACAGAGUCAAAGUUACAUAAUGUGGAGGAUUUGCUAAAAACGGGAUAACGUUCAAACGCUUCCACAUCAUUGAUACUGACAGACUGCAGCAACAACUCAGUAGGAGUGGGGCUCUAAAAAAAAAAAAUACAGUAUUUCAAUUUGGCUUUUGGAGGGAGGGAGAGGGAGAUAGACAGAGGGAGGGAGGGGGGGGAGGGAGAGAGAAAGAGAGGGAGAGAUGAAAGGGAGCAGUGGAUAAGCUUCAAGGCUUAUCCUAUUCAUUACUGGAGGAAAAAAAAAUCGUAGCAUCGACCUAUAAAUAAAUGAAUGCCAGGAUAAACACGAAGCCCAUACAUCAAUAAAACAUAUGUAUUCUAAUAGAUCACGCUCUAGUUACACUUGAUGGGAUCGAGUCAGCCAAUGAGCCCAAUCAUAGGGACUUUAUCAUUCUGCAAAGCUACGCAGCAUUAGGCCGUGGUGAUUAUAAAUAAUCAUCAUUCUCAUAACAAAAUAGACCAAUAGAUACUUUCAUCUUUGUUCUCUUUUUCUUUUCCUUGUUUAUAUGCUACUGUGUUUAAGGCAUUCAAAUUAAUUCUCAAAUCUACAAACAAACAAAGAAAAGGAAAACAGGACAAGUUAUCGCCUCUCUUUGUAUUUUCUUUUUAGUAAAUAGUUGCAUAUUCAUAAGAAAAAAAAUUAACACAUUUGUAAACAAAUGUCUAAAACUGCAGCCAGCACCGCCUCUGUUUAAGCACUCUCCUUUCCAAGAAACAUCUGGGUCACUUUGAACAAAAAAAAGAAAAGAAAAAAAAUCUGGAAACAUCAAUCACAUUCACCGCAUAGUGUAUAAUCCUCACUUUGCUGCUGUCGUGUAUCAGCGGUGCAACAAUGAUUUUUGACGUCACUAAAAGUUACACAAGCCUUUUUUAGGGAAACAGCCGGCAACAAGUCUCCACCUACACAGAGAUAUUGAACACUUAAACCUGACUAAAAGGCUGCAUUCAGGACGUGUUUCCACACCGGAGCCUGACUCUGUAAACAGCGUUUUCAGUUACACGUAUGAGUCAGACUUGCUCACCCCAGGUUGCAACAUGCUAUUCUGUACAUUUAUAUUAGGGAAUUUCAGAAGUUGUAUCACAUCUCACAUCUGGCGUUUAUGAAAAUCUGACUCUCAGUGUGUUGUUUUUAUCACAUUUAACUCACAAUAAACCGAUUUAUCAAUUGAGCCAUUACGAAUGAGGUCAAGCUAACCUCCUCAGCUCAAGUGUAACGUAAUACAUAAAAAGCAUUGCAUUUUAUUUAAGAAAAAAAAGUUAAAAAUAAAUCGUUUAUAAACUUAGAAGAGCUCGAGGAGGUGCUUUUUCAUGUGUGCAUUAAAUAUAAUUUAUUUACCAGAUUUUUCCCUUUAAUUCCUG
ensembl:lncRNA